UAUCCUCUAACCUAAUGUGCUCUAUUUGUUUAAUUGAAACUUCUGUAUGUUUACGCUUCACAUGACCAAUAAUCAAACACAGAAUAUCAUAACUAAUAGACUAUUUUUCUUCAGCCGUAAAAUCAGGUUCUGCAGGCUUUUGAAGCAGCAUGGCUGGAUCCCUCUCCAACAACCUUGCCUUCCGAGUACCAGUACGCCGUAGAGCACGAAGUGCAUUUGCAGCAAAUCGUGAGGCAUAUAUGGCGGUGACACCUAAACUUGGUGAGUUCCCACUUGUAUUAGCUAAUGCAUCUUGGAACCUUUUCUCCUCCUGUUGGAGAGACUCUUCAAGCUUCUUUUUACCAUACCUGCCCC
rnacentral:misc_RNA from 1 species